AGGAACUAGUACAACAAUAAUCACGUCACGGUCCAACAAAAGCAAUCAAUAUACAGAGUGAUACAUGUGAUGUGAGCUAAAAAAAAGAACAUUUAUCUUGUGACUUGUAAUUGAAGGAAAGGUAACACUUUUUCCUCUAUUAAAAUCCUCUUAGCUCUCACAAGAGAAAGGCAUUCAAUCUAAAACCACAACACAAAUAUGGUCAUCAAGUUGAGACUUUUUUUGCACCUUCCUUCUUCUUCUUGUCUUCAUUUUUGGUUCCUCAGUUCAUGGGAAACAAGGUACAAGGCAUGUCCAUGGAGUUCAUCAAAGGUGGCAAAAGAAGCCAUGGAUGAAUCAUGGAAGCAAUCGGGGUCCUCAAAAACACCUUGUUAAUCCCACCAUUAAUCAUCGUUUCGAUAUACCUGAAUUGCCAGUUUAGCUCUUCUUAAUCUUGAUGUUAGUCUUACAGUUGAUGGAAAAUGGUUCUCUUAAUUACCAUAUUGUAUUCCGAGUGUCUUAUAGACUUUUUAUACGUUUGGCUUAGGGCUGGCAAUUUGAGAAGAAGGAGGAGGAUAAGUCAACAAAAUGAAAGGAAUGCAGAAAGGAUUCAAACAAGUUCACAGCAAUUGAUAUUUUUGUCCCUUAUAAAUCAAAAGAAUCAACUUAAAAUUUCAGUAUAUUUAGUCUUUAAGAGAUUAAAGGAAAAAAAAUGGAUGAAAAGAAAUUGAUAUUUUUUGA